rnacentral:rRNA from 1 species
AUGGCCGGCGCCGAAGGGCUCCCCCGCGACCUCCUCGAGGCGAUCUACCGCCUCUGCUCCUCGCCGUAUGAUCGUGCGCGCUUCGCCGCCGUCUGCACAUCAUGGCAAGCCGCCGCGUUGGAAUGGCGCACCCCGCUACCGGCUCUCCCACUGCUCCUCCCGUCGACGGGCAUCGACCGGCGCGACCGGAUGACGCGGGCAUACAGCCUCGAGGAUGGCAGGGUCCUGCGUGCCCCGCUGCCAUACUUCCCGUAUGGCAAGAGAAUCGUGGGGUGCCACGACGGCGGUUGGGUUGCCGCCACCAGUGGCUCCCAGGUCGAGGUUGUGAAUCUCUUCACCGGUGCCCGGUUGAUGCAAAGGGACCUUACAUGUAAAUGCCCAACCGUUGUAGGAAUGACCGACAAAAUCUCCCUCGACAAAGUCGUCUUCUCGGAGGAACCUGUCACAAAAGGCUGCAUCAUGGCCGCAAUAACAAAGAGGUGUAAAAUAGUGCUAUGCGGGCUUGACGGCAAGGACGACAGUGCGUGGAGCACGCAAGGAUGUGGCACACACGAAAUUCCCAACCUUAUAGACAUCACCUUCUACAACGGGGAGCUCUAUGGCCUAUCGUGUGAUCAAUUUUUAUACAGGUUCGCCAUUGGCCGAAACAUGGACGGCGCUUCCGUGAUCACCUUGUUCAAACAACUGACCACCGAAAUACCCAUCUACUGUGGCAAUGCCGAAUACAUCUUCGAGCUGCGUGGCAAACUCGCUAUAGCAGUGGAAAUCCUCAGCAUUUGCAACGCUCCAACUUUUAGGGUGUUCGAGCUCGCUGUCUAUUGGGACAUCAUUACCAGGUCAUACUACACAUGGGUAGAGGUGACGUGUCUGGGCGAUCAUGCCUUGUUUCUAGGGCCAGGAUGCUGCAAGGCGACACAUGUGUCAUCAACUGGGGUCACAGAUGGUGUUGUGGAAGCUAACCGUAUCUACUACACCCGCCCCGAAGGCUAUGCAAACCAUUUACCUAUGUUGGAUUUGGGUAGUUGUGCCGUGUAUUGCUCGGGAAGCGAUGGCGUGCAACGCCCUAAUAGAAUUAUGUCACAGGGAUACUAUUACCGCAAGAAGGAUUACGGAUGCAAUUACAAUGAGAAGGAAGACACUAGUUGGCAUAAUAGUUGUACGUGGGUUCUCCCUCCACACUUUUAG